CGGGGCGGCCGGCUGCCGCAGUGACGACAGGGAUCGAAACCAAGGAAAGCGGCCCCAAAUCCACGAACAAGGCAGACCAGGCAACGACCGGCAGAGACAGGCCGGGGAGCCGCUGCAGGCACAACCGCUCCUCCUCACGGAGAGAGCAAGCCAUGCCCUUUGUACAGACACCAUGCCUGGACUCGGCUUGGGAAGAACUUGAGUAGCCCCCUCUAACAGAAAGCAUAGAUUGCAAGUGAGCUCUAAUAAAGAAACAGAACUGGCACUUAAGCUUACAAAGAAUUUCAAAAAAGCAUCAGAAAUACCAUGGUCAUGAAGAACUAGUACAACCAUGAAGAAAGCAAGCAAACUUUGUUAAACAGAGUGUUUUCAAUGGAAGUUUGAAAAGGAGAAAUAUUUUCAACUGUCACCAAACAGUGUGUAUCAGACCCCUACUUUUUCCUCAGUCAAGAGAAACA